GCGCCCGUAGUGAAAAGGAUAUCACGACAGCCUCCGAAGCUGUAAGUCCAGGUUCGAUUCCUGGCGGGCGCACCA
rnacentral:tRNA from 1 species